AGGAGCAGGGAGUCGGGCGGCGGCUCCAUUGUUCAGCAUUUAGCCAGUGUUUAUCUUCGUGGUGGAGACAUUGUAUCGUAACACAACCCUUCAAACAGAUAGUUCAGGGCGAUCCCAUCACAUUUGGUCAUUUCCCGACACCGCGGGAUGCUGUGGUGGUCAUCCCGGGCGUGUUGACCUGGGGGUCGCCGCCCCCCCUCCCCGGUCAACAACACGACGGAUUGUUGACUUGGGACAACAAUGACAGUGGCCGCCACUCACCAGCUUUAUCCGUCAGUAAACUUACGCGUCGGCUUACUAUAUUACAAGCACAAGCCUACAUGGUCGCUACAUCAGCAAGUAAGAGUGUUGCAGGAAGCAUAAACUCUGAGACAGCGUGUGCACUAUCUUUAAUAGACAACCUUGGAAUAUCACAAGCAAAUGACGCCAUCACAACAAUUAUCACUACCCAGUGCCCGUGGAAUAGUGAGACAGCAGCAACAACGUCAGACUUUGACCCAGCGUGACGCCCGAGGCCUCACACUGCUCACUAUACACCUCUUGCAGUCAUCUUGAGUACAUUACCCUCAUGCAAACGGCGUGCAUCGGUAAAAGAAUCCUGCAGUGUUUAUUUAGAGUCGAGGAGCACUAUUGCUGGGCCUUGACACCAGUAGAGAGGAUGUCUUAGUCGCCACUGUAGGGGACAAGAAACCCAUUAAUUGGUGAACAAACCUGUAAUUGGUGUUCACCAGGACGUGGCCCAGGCUAGCUGUUUACCUUCAUUAGGAUGCUACCCACAACAGCUUCCUACUCCCAGGUCUUCUUGAAGUGUGAAGUGUGUGCCCUGUGCUCUGCCUGGGAGUGUUGUACUGUCUAAAGCUCCCACUUGUGCAGCUUCCAGUAAUUGGUGGAUUCUGACUCCAUGGUCCUCGUCAUCACUUUGCUAAAAGGUAGUUAUCCAGACCUCUGCGAAACAAAUCCCUGGUUUUCCUGUUUCAAGACCAGGUGUAAACAAACAUUGCACUAACCCCCCCCGCCUAUCCUGUGUUGAGUGCAACCAAAGCAGUUACUGUGAUUUCAAAAGUGCAGGUGAAAUGACAUAGGAAUGACCUAGGAAGAUUCUGGUGCCCUCCUGAAGUGGAUAAGCAGUUUAAGUCUGUCCUUGGCACCUGGCCACAGUGCUUGUGAUGGAAGGGUGGUGGUGCAAUUGGAGGUGAGUGACCUCAGUUGUAUGGCAUUCCAUAUGAGUAGCCAGUUUCUCUAAAUUCAUAUUGGCUCAAGUUUUAGAUUGAUGAUUUUUUUACUAGCUACAUUUGCUUUACUUACAUACAUUAAAUUAUGCAGUCAUAGGAGCUCAUAUAACAAACCUACUUAAGGGAGCAAGGUUCUUUAAGACUAAACCACACAUCAGAAUGUAACAAACUAGUUUGUUGUAGAAAUCAUUUAUUAUAGAUCCGGCAUAAAUAUUACAUGGGGGUCACAUGGUCU
rnacentral:lncRNA from 1 species